AUGCCCUCCUCCAGGGAGUCUUCCUGCCCCAGGGAUUGAACCCGCGUCUCUUGUAUAUCCUGUAUUCACAAUACAGAUGGUUAAAGAAAGUUGUUACUCUCACCCUCACUGUAACUAGCGAGAACAGUCUGGCUCCAUCUUCCUCGCCUUUGUCUUGCUCAUAUGUGUGUGUGGAAACAUACGUACUAUACGUGGGGUUUUCAUUUUGUAAAAAACUGGAAUUCUUUACUGAGUAGUUGAUUUCUCACUUGGAAACCAUCACAAUCUUUGCUCCAGAGAAGCAUCUCAGUCUCUCCUUUGGUUUUCAAGGUGUGGCCACCCGCGUUAGGUCAGCUCACACCUUCUGUGGCUAUUCCAGGCAUGUCUGGUUAUGGGACACCACAAACGAUGCCGCUGGAUAUAAAUAUGUGAACAUAUGUGUGCUUUCACUUCAAGGGCUAUAUCUCCCAAUCGGGUAUUGCGAGGUCAAAAAGCUUUUGUAGUUUUAGUUGCCAAGUUGCUUUCCAGGAAGGUGUCACCAUUGCCCACUUACUGAGCACAUAAGAUGUCCUAGGCUUGGCAUGAACUCCUUAUUCUCCUGACUUUGAGCCUCACGCCCUCUCUGCUUUGUUGACAGUGACCAGCUCAUCCAUUCAGGCCAAGUCCUGUGUGCGGACGGGUGGAGGCCCGGAGGAGGGCAGACAGAGGCUCCUCCAGGGCCCCAGCCCAGCUUCUCAGCCUGCUGCUUUUCCUGCCCCCUUGGUCCUUGGUCAUUAGGGCAUGGAUUCAUUUUACCAGCCAACAUUGUUUCUCUCUUCUUAGGCAAGAUGAGAAUUCCACCUGCUUCUGCAUUUGCCCAACCUGCGGCUCUAGCAGAGCACUGGCAACACUUUGUCCUGUAUUCAGGGGAGCGGAGGGCGUCCAGAGGGUGUCCUUCUCACACCCGUCCUUUGAGUUCCAUGCAGACAAAGCCCGUCUGUCAUCUUGUGCCCCUGCAGAGAGUCACCUGGUGCCGAGUCGCUGAAACUCACUGCCAGUUCUCAGUUUGGGUCCCGCCCCCCAUGACUUCACUGCUCAGCCAGCCUUGGAGGGAAGAAGGCAUCUUGCCGGGAUUCCUGAGCUCGCUGACUUGCCAAGGUGAUGGAAACUACAACCCAGCUUGAUCCUUUGGGGGCAGGAAAGAGGGCGAGGACUGCGUCGUACAGAAGAGGACAUCCAGUGACAAGCCCCAUAUCUCCGGGGUUCCGUCCUCUCUGAAUCCACGUCCACGUGUGCUGCAUGUGGCCCCGCCUUGGCUCUGUGGACGCCGGUCACUGUGGUGGGACCUGGUGGGUGACUCACACACUGGCUCCAAAGGCACCCCCAGAAGUGACCCAGCAUCACUGCUGCUCACGUUUCCUUGGCCACAUCCUGUCCCAUGGAGGCAGAGAAGAGCAGGUCAGAGUGUGCUCGGAAGAGAUGAACCUGAAUUUUUGUCGACACCCCUGCCGUGGGGGCCACAUAGGUAGAUGAUGGGAGAAAAAAAAGAGAGAGAGAGAAAGGGCAGCAUAUUCUAGGACAUAAAUAAAACUCUCUCUCGUAAGAGAUUCGCUAACCGAUUCUGCCAAAAGAGAAGUCCCCAAAAUGCUGUGAUAAAUGGCGACAUCACUGUAACCAAUUUACGGUGAUUCCUUUGAAGGACAACAGUCAUCUUUCUGCAGAAAGAUGUUCUGUGAAGAACGCUGGAGCACUUGUCAGCCCACAUGGGCAUCCUUAAUACAUGGCCUGACCCGUGCACCCAUUACCAUAAACUCAACCACAGACAGACACCCGGAGGCGGGGCCGCCUGAGCUGCAGCCCAAAGGGAGAGCAGACUCUGCCUGCAGCAGAACGCGUGCCCCUGACUUCCCAGAAAGCCGGGGCUUGGUUUUCUCCAAGGCUUCUGGUUCUUUCUGUCCCUGCUGGAAGCAUAACUUCUCAUUUCAGAGUCACAUAGUGUAUCCGCUCCUUAAAUAUGACUGAUAGGAGGAAAUCUCAGCGCCCCUCUAGCUGUUUGCCCUGUUUUCACGCUGUGGGGUCUCUGGCUGAAAUGAAAAGUCUUGAUUUGGGGGAUUUGAAAUCAAAUAGGAGUUUUGAUGUGAGAGAGCAUGUUCAUUUCCACAUAGGAUAAUUUUACAGAUCGACUUAAUAAUAAUGUGUAAUAAACAAGCAAAUAAAUGGCUACAGCUUCCAUGGGGCUUGGCCAUCAUUCAAGCCCAGCCCUCGGUGCCUUUGGUAUCGAGAUGGAAGAGCUGCGGUGGUUGGCUUAUGGUCUUCACAGGAGCGGUGGGAGUGGCUUGUUCCUCUGUGACUCCAGGGUGGGGGAGAGGCUGAUGGUUCCGAGGCGAUGGUGGCCUUUCUGAUCCCAUUGAGAGAUGCCAAACUGUGUCCCCAAGUCUUUUGUUCUUUGGAGAAAACUUACACUGAAAUAAGAGAGCAAUAAAACCAGCUUGCUUGAUUU